GAGUAUGAGGUGGAUGUCUAGGUAUAUAAAUAAAGGACGUAGCGUAUUUACGAAAAGUUAUGAUAAGAAUCGCAUUUGACUUCAACUCAUAGAUAUCCUUAGGUAAACCGUACACUUUGUAUUAAUUUACUAAAUUAAAUGAAACAUCUUAUUAAUUUAAGGAAAAAAAAUCAAACGAGAUUUCAUUAGUAGUGGCGAACGAAAAUGAACAAGGGAUAAAUAUUCUUUUUAGUUAAUAAUUUGAAAAAAUUAAGCCAUAGAAGGUUAUAGCCCUGUAAACUUUAAAUUAUUUUUUUUGUAGUAAAAAAGAACCCGUGACAUUCUUUUUGAAUAUUGGAGGACCAUACUUCAAACCCUAAAUAUCUUUAUAUAACCAAUAGCGAACUAGUACUGUGAAGGAAAGAUGAAAAGAACCCUAUAGCUGGGAGUGAAAAGAUUCUGAAACCUGAUAUUUACAACCAACUGAAAUGUUUUAUAUAUAACAGUUUGCCUUUUGUAUCAUGCAUUAGCGACUUUAAAAUUAAAGCAAGCUUAAAUUAAUAAAUGUAAGCAUAGUUAAAGCAAGCUUAAAAUGAGCUAACAAAGUUUUAAUUUUAAGACCCGAAUCCAAGUGAUCUAGUUAUAAACAAGCUAAAUACAUAAUAAUUUAUGUUGGAAGGCUAAACUCGUAACUGUUGCAAAAGUUUGAGAUGAUUUAUUAUUAGGGGUGAAAGACCAAUCAAACUUGGUGAUAGCUGGUUUUCCACGAAAUAUAUUUAGGUAUAGCAUAAUUUUUUGAGGUAGAAGGUAAAGCUCUUUUUAAACUAGGGGGAUUAAUAAUUUUACUGAAUUUAGAUAAACUUUGAAUAUUUACUUAUCUUGAAAUUGUAGUCAGACUUUGAGUGCUAAGAUUCAUAGUCAAAAGGGAAACAGCCCAGAUUAUUGACUAAGGUCCCAAAAUGAUAUGCUAAGUGAUAAAGAUUGUAAUUAUACCAAAAUAACUAGAAGGUAAGCUUGGAAGCAGCUACCCUUUAAAAAAUGCGUAAUAGCAUACUAGUCGAAAACAAAUCAGUUUAAGUUUAAUUGCGUCGAAAAUAUAUAGGACUUAUGCUUUCUACCGAAGUUAUAAACUUACUUUUGUAAGUGGUAGUGGAACGUUUUUUAAGCCAAAAAAGUUAAAUUGCAAAAUUUAAAGAAGGUAUAAAAAGUGAGAAUGCUAAUAUGAGUAACGUUAAACAAUGUAUUAAACCAUUGUCGCUUAAAAAUUCAAGGUUUUCCACGCAAUGUAAACCAACGUGGAUUUAGUCGGUCUCUAAAAACUUAUAACGUAAGUUGUGUUUGAUGAGUUUCUUAAACUUAAAAAAAAAACACAACUUUUUAUAAUAUGCUUAAUUAAUGGUUUUUUUCAUUUUAUUUUAUGUUGUCUAGAAAUAUUUUUUUUACUAACACCGUACUUAACCGACAAAGGAGAAUAGGUAUUACUAUACCAAAGCGUUUGAAUUAAUCAUCUUUAAGGAACUCGGCAAAAAUACUCUGUAACUUCGGGAUAAAGAAUACCUUUAAUUAAAAGGUUUUAUGAAAAUAGGAUAGCGACUAGUUAUUAAAACUACAAGACUUUGCUAAAUUGUAAAAUGAUGUAUAAGGUCUGAUGUCUGCCCAGUGCUAAAAAGUUACGCGCGAUAGUAAAAAGCUAUUAAGUUAAGCUUUAGUAAACGGCGGUUGUAACUCUAACAAUCCUAAGGUAGCGAAAUUCCUAGUCAAUUAAUUGUUGACCUGCAUGAAAGACAUAACGACUUUCCUACUGUCUCAAAGAUGAUUUCAGUGAAAUUAGAUUUUGCGUGAAGAUACGCAAUUAUGGUAGUAAGACGGAAAGACCCCAUAAACCUUAACUAUAAUUUUAAACUGUUCUUACUUAUAACCUGUGUAGUAAUAAGUGGUAGUCGAUAAUAUGUCUUGACGUCAGUCAAUUACAGAGACAAAAAUGAAAGAUCACUCUUGUUAUAAUGUAAAACUAAAUUAAUUAACUAAUUACAAUUUAAAAUGGUUAGUUUGACUGGGGCGGUAGUCUCCAAAAGUGUAACGGAGACCCACAAAGGUAAGUUCAAACUUGAUAUAACAAGUUUUUGAGUGUAAUGGCAAAUACUUGCCUGACUGUAAGACAAACAAGUCGAGCAGAGACGAAAGUCGGCCUUAGUGAUCCGACGGUUCCACGUGGAAGGGCCGUCGCUCAACGGAUAAAAGUUACUCUAAGGAUAACAGGCUGAUCUCCCCCAAGAGUUCACAUCGACGGGGAGGUUUGGCACCUCGAUGUCGGCUCAUCGCAUCCUGGGGCGGUAGUACGUCCCAAGGGUUGGGCUGUUCGCCCAUGAAAGCGGUACGCGAGCUGGGUUCAGAACGUCGUGAGACAGUUCGGUCCAUAUCCGGUGCAGGCGUUAGAGCAUUGAAAGGAGUCCCCCUUAGUACGAGAGGACCGGGGGGAAUACACCGCUGGUGUACCAGUUAUCGUGCCAACGGUAAACGCUGGGUAGCCAUGUGUAGCGUGGAUAACUGCUGAAAGCAUCUAAGUAGGAAGCCCACCUUAAGAUGAGUGCUCUCACCGCUAUAAGCGGGUAAGGUCACGGUAAGAACAACCGUUAUAUAGGCAUUAAGUAUACGUGCAGUAAUGCAUUUAGCUAAGAUGUACUAACAGACCGA
rnacentral:rRNA from 14 species